UACGAAGGGUGCAAACGUUGCUCGGAAUUAUUGGGCGUAAAGCGCACGUAGGCGGCUUUGCAAGUCGGAUGUGAAAUCCCUCGGCUUAACCAAGGAAGUGCAUCCGAAACUGCAGAGCUUGAGUACUUAAGAGGAUCGCGGAAUUCCCGGUGUAGAGGUGAAAUUCGUAGAUAUUGGGAAGAACACCGGUGGCGAAGGCGGCUCACUGGCCCGUAACUGACGCUCAUGCACGACAGCGUGGGGAUCAAACAGG
rnacentral:rRNA from 1 species